UACGAGGGGGGCGAGCGUUGUUCGGAAUUAUUGGGCGUAAAGGGUGCGUAGGCGGUUUGGUAAGUCUCGUGUGAAAUCUCCGGGCUCAACUCGGAGCCUGCACGAGAAACUGCCGGGCUUGAGUGCCGGAGAGGGUCGCGGAAUUCCCAGUGUAGAGGUGAAAUUCGUAGAUAUUGGGAGGAACACCAGAGGCGAAGGCGGCGACCUGGGAGGUAACUGACACUGAGCAGCGAAAGCGUGGGGAGCAAACAGG
rnacentral:rRNA from 1 species